AGAGUUUGAUCCUGGCUCAGGAUGAACGCUGGCGGCGUGCAUAACACAUUCAAGUCGAACGGUGAGUGGGAGCAAUCCCAUGAUCAGUGGCGGACAGGUGAGUAACGCGUGAGCAAUCUGCCCCUUAGUGCGGGAUAACGUUUGGAAACGAACGCUAAUACCGCAUAAUGCACAGGAAUCGCAUGGUUUUUGUGCCAAAGAUUUAUUGCUGAGGGAUGAGCUCGCGUCUGAUUAGGCAGUUGGUGAGGUAACGGCCCACCAAACCUACGAUCAGUAGCCGGACUGAGAGGUUGAACGGCCACAUUGGAACUGAGAAACGGUCCAGACUCCUACGUGAGGCAGCAGUGGGGAAUAUUGGGCAAUGGGCGAAAGCCUGACCCAGCGACGCCGCGUGAAGGAAGAAGGUCUUCGGAUUGUAAACUUCUUUUAUGUGGGACGAAGAAAUGACGGUACCACAUGAAUAAGCCACGGCUAACUACGUGCCAGCAGCCGCGGUAAUACGUAGGUGGCGAGCGUUAUCCGGAUUUACUGGGUGUAAAGGGUGUGUAGGCGGGGAAGCAAGUCAGGUGUGAAAAUAAUGGGCUUAACUCAUUACUUGCACUUGAAACUGUUUUUCUUGAGGGUCGGAGAGGUAACUGGAAUUCCUGGUGUAGCGGUGAAAUGCGUAGAUAUCAGGAGGAACACCGGUGGCGAAGGCGGGUUACUGGACGAUUACUGACGCUGAUACACGAAAGCGUGGGGAGCAAACAGGAUUAGAUACCCUGGUAGUCUACGCCGUAAACGAUGAAUGCUAGGUGUGGGGACGAUAGUUUCCGUGCCGCAGUUAACACAAUAAGCAUUCCACCUGGGGAGUACGGCCGCAAGGUUGAAACUCAAAGGAAUUGACGGGAGCCCGCACAAGCAGUGGAGUAUGUGGUUUAAUUCGACGCAACGCGAAGAACCUUACCAGGACUUGACAUCCCGAGAAUCCGGCGUAAUGGCCGGAGUGCCCUUCGGGGAAUUCGGAGACAGGUGGUGCAUGGUUGUCGUCAGCUCGUGUCGUGAGAUGUUGGGUUAAGUCCCGCAACGAGCGCAACCCUUACGGUCAGUUGCUACGCAAGAGCACUCUGGCCGGACUGCCGUUGACAAAACGGAGGAAGGUGGGGAUGACGUCAAGUCCUCAUGGCCCUUAUAGGUGGGGCUACACACGUCACACAAUGGCUGGUACAAAGGGUUGCCAACCCGCGAGGGGGAGCUAAUCCCAUAAAGCCAGUCGUAGUCCGGAUCGCAGUCUGCAACUCGACUGCGUGAAGUCGGAAUCGCUAGUAAUCGUGGAUCAGCAUGUCACGGUGAAUACGUUCCCGGGUCUUGCACACACCGCCGGUCAA
rnacentral:rRNA from 1 species